rnacentral:lncRNA from 1 species
AUGGCCAGCUCAUCGUCACCCGCCAUCUCAGGGUCGUCGCCGAAGAUGCCCAACACGACGGGCAUCAAUCCAUCGCGGCGCGCCGGAGGCCGGAGCGCUGCGGUCGGCGCUGCUGAACCCCGUCCCGGCGGUGCUGCGCCUCUCGCCCUUGCUACGAGGCUCCGACGACUUCAACGGCGUAUGCUUCUUCGUCUCCUUCGCGAACCAGACCAAGCUGAACGAAGCAGGGGCCGGGCAUCAUCAUCCUCGUCCGCAUCUCGUCCACAGCCACGCGCAGCAGCGACGGCCACAUCCAGCGGCAAUAAAGCGCUAGACAUCGAGGCAGCCGCAGCUGGUGAUCACCAGGUGGCGCGCGACGACGACGACGACGACGCCGACGCGAAGCGCGUUUCCAAGAGCGUGCAGACGGUGUCCCUCUUCGCGGCGUCGGCGUCGCUUCUGCUCUUCGCCAACCUCACGGCGGCGGGCAAAGCACCGACGACGACACCGCCGCCGCCGCGAUUGCCCGCCGGCGGCGCACUUUAUAGUGUAAACCUGGCAUUGAUUUGCCUCGGCCUGCUCACGAGCCUCGCUCUCUCCAUCUUCUCCAUCCUGGCACCGGCCGCCCGUAAACUCGCCGUAACCAAGGUGCAGAAGAGGGGAAUGGUGAUGGCCGUGGCGUUCGUUCUCGUCUCCUUUCUGCUCCGUAUUUCGAUGAUGCUUCCUGCUGCAUCGUUGGAAUGGGUUUUCCUCUUGAUCUUCCUGGUAUUUGCCUGUGCCGAGGCGGCCUACCUGUCGCUGGUAUAUACGAGACAUGUUGUGGAUGAACCAAAGGCCCAUUCGAAUUUUGGUGUGUUGGAUCUUUGUGUUAAAGAUAUGUGCUAUCAACCGAAGUGGUACGAGACCCAUUAAAUUGACGCUC